rnacentral:rRNA from 1 species
GAGAUCAAAGAAGUUCGCGCGGGCGACAUCGCGGCUGCUAUCGGCCUGAAAGACGUGACUACCGGUGACACCCUGUGUGAUCCGGAAAACCCGAUCAUUCUGGAACGUAUGGAAUUCCCUGAGCCGGUAAUCUCCAUCGCGGUAGAACCGAAAACCAAAGCUGACCAGGAAAAAAUGGGUCUGGCUCUGGGCCGUCUGGCGAAAGAAGACCCGUCGUUCCGCGUAUGGACUGAUGAAGAAUCUAACCAGACCAUCAUCGCUGGUAUGGGUGAACUUCACCUAGAUAUCAUCGUUGACCGUAUGAAGCGUGAAUUCAACGUUGAAGCGAACGUGGGUAAACCUCAGGUUGCUUACCGCGAAGCGAUUCGCGCGAAAGUUACCGACAUCGAAGGUAAACACGCGAAACAGUCUGGUGGUCGCGGUCAGUAUGGUCAUGUUGUUAUCGACAUGUACCCGCUGGAGCCGGGCUCUAACCCGAAAGGUUACGAGUUCAUCAACGACAUCAAAGGUGGUGUAAUUCCUGGCGAGUACAUCCCGGCCGUUGAUAAAGGCAUCCAGGAGCAGCUGAAAUCUGGCCCGCUGGCGGGUUAUCCGGUAGUUGAUCUCGGUGUGCGUCUGCACUUCGGUUCUUACCAUGACGUUGACUCCUCUGAGCUGGCGUUUAAACUGGCUGCGUCUAUCGCCUUUAAAGAAGGCUUUAAGAAAGCAAAACCAGUUCUGCUUGAGCCGAUCAUGAAGGUUGAAGUAGAAACACCUGAAGAGAAUACCGGUGACGUUAUCGGCGACCUUAGCCGCCGUCGUGGUAUGCUCAAAGGUCAGGAAUCUGAAGUUACAGGCGUUAAGAUCCACGCUGAAGUACCGCUGUCUGAAAUGUUCGGAUAUGCAACUCAGCUGCGUUCUCUGACCAAAGGUCGCGCAUCGUACACUAUGGAAUUCCUGAAGUAUGAUGAUGCGCCGAACAACGUUGCUCAGGCCGUAAUCGAAGCCCGUGGUAAAUAAGCCGCAGGGUUAAAAACCAAAAUCCCGUGCUCUCUCCUGAAGGGGAGAGCGCUAUAGUAAGGAAUAUAGCCGUGUCUAAAGAAAAAUUUGAACGUACAAAACCGCACGUUAACGUCGGCACCAUCGGCCACGUUGACCACGGUAAAACUACCCUGACCGCUGCAAUCACCACCGUACUGGCUAAAACCUACGGCGGUGCUGCUCGUGCAUUCGACCAGAUCGAUAACGCUCCGGAAGAAAAAGCGCGUGGUAUCACCAUCAACACUUCUCACGUUGAAUACGAUCCCCCGNAAAGGCGUAGUCGAUGGGAAACGGGUUAAUAUUCCCGUACUUGGUGUUACUGCGAAGGGGGGACGGAGAAGGCUAUGUUGGCCGGGCGACGGUUGUCCCGGUUUAAGCGUGUAGGUAUGUGUUCCAGGUAAAUCCGGUUCACUUUAACACUGAGGCGUGACGACGAGGCACUACGGUGCUGAAGCAACAAAUGCCCUGCUUCCAGGAAAAGCCUCUAAGCAUCAGGUAACAUCAAAUCGUACCCCAAACCGACACAGGUGGUCAGGUAGAGAAUACCAAGGCGCUUGAGAGAACUCGGGUGAAGGAACUAGGCAAAAUGGUGCCGUAACUUCGGGAGAAGGCACGCUGACACGUAGGUGAAGUGAUUUACUCACGGAGCUGAAGUCAGCCGAAGAUACCAGCUGGCUGCAACUGUUUAUUAAAAACACAGCACUGUGCAAACACGAAAGUGGACGUAUACGGUGUGACGCCUGCCCGGUGCCGGAAGGUUAAUUGAUGGGGUCAGCGCAAGCGAAGCUCCUGAUCGAAGCCCCGGUAAACGGCGGCCGUAACUAUAACGGUCCUAAGGUAGCGAAAUUCCUUGUCGGGUAAGUUCCGACCUGCACGAAUGGCGUAAUGAUGGCCAGGCUGUCUCCACCCGAGACUCAGUGAAAUUGAACUCGCUGUGAAGAUGCAGUGUACCCGCGGCAAGACGGAAAGACCCCGUGAACCUUUACUAUAGCUUGACACUGAACAUUGAGCCUUGAUGUGUAGGAUAGGUGGGAGGCUUUGAAGUGUGGACGCCAGUCUGCAUGGAGCCGACCUUGAAAUACCACCCUUUAAUGUUUGAUGUUCUAACGUGGACCCGUGAUCCGGGUUGCGGACAGUGUCUGGUGGGUAGUUUGACUGGGGCGGUCUCCUCCUAAAGAGUAACGGAGGAGCACGAAGGUUGGCUAAUCCUGGUCGGACAUCAGGAGGUUAGUGCAAUGGCAUAAGCCAGCUUGACUGCGAGCGUGACGGCGCGAGCAGGUGCGAAAGCAGGUCAUAGUGAUCCGGUGGUUCUGAAUGGAAGGGCCAUCGCUCAACGGAUAAAAGGUACUCCGGGGAUAACAGGCUGAUACCGCCCAAGAGUUCAUAUCGACGGCGGUGUUUGGCACCUCGAUGUCGGCUCAUCACAUCCUGGGGCUGAAGUAGGUCCCAAGGGUAUGGCUGUUCGCCAUUUAAAGUGGUACGCGAGCUGGGUUUAGAACGUCGUGAGACAGUUCGGUCCCUAUCUGCCGUGGGCGCUGGAGAACUGAGGGGGGCUGCUCCUAGUACGAGAGGACCGGAGUGGACGCAUCACUGGUGUUCGGGUUGUCAUGCCAAUGGCACUGCCCGGUAGCUAAAUGCGGAAGAGAUAAGUGCUGAAAGCAUCUAAGCACGAAACUUGCCCCGAGAUGAGUUCUCCCUGAGACUUUAGGUCUCCUGAAGGAACGUUGAAGACGACGACGUUGAUAGGCCGGGUGUGUAAGCGCAGCGAUGCGUUGAGCUAACCGGUACUAAUGAACCGUGAGGCUUAACCUU